rnacentral:rRNA from 1 species
GAUGAACGCUAGCUACAGGCUUAACACAUGCAAGUCGUGGGGCAUCAUGAUGUAGUAAUACAUUGAUGGCGACCGGCGCACGGGUGAGUAACGCGUAUCCAACCUACCCUCCACUCAAGUAUAGGCUUCCGAAAGGGAGAUUAAUCCUUGAUAUCGUCAUUCUCUCUCCUGUUAGAAUGAUAAAAGGACAUCGUUUCGGUAGAGGAUGGGGAUGCGUUCCAUUAGGUAGUAGGUGGUUUAACAGGCCACCUAGCCGAUGAUGGAUAGGGGUUCUGAGAGGAAUAUCCCCCACACUGGUACUGAGAUACGGACCAGACUCCUACGGGAGGCAGCAGUGAGGAAUAUUGGUCAAUGGGCGCAAGCCUGAAACCAGCCAUGUAGCGUGAAGGAUGACGGUUUUUUUGAUUGUAAAAUUUCUUUUUCU